CGGGAGUACAUCAGCGGCGAACGGGUGAGUAACACGUGGGUGACUUGCCCCGAAGAUGGGGAUAACCUCUGGAAACGGGGGCUAAUACCCAAUGUGCUCGGUGAUUCGGUUCAUCGAGUAAAGCUCCGGCGCUUCGGGAGAGGCCUGCGGCCCAUCAGCUAGUUGGUAGGGUAACGGCCUACCAAGGCAGAGACGGGUAGGGGGCGUGAGAGCGCGGACCCCCACACUGGCACUGAGAUACGGGCCAGACUCCUACGGGAGGCAGCAGUAAGGGAUAUUGCGCAAUGGACGAAAGUCAGACGCAGCGACGCCGCGUGGGCGAUGAAGGCCUUCGGGUUGUAAAGCCCUUUUAUGGGGGAAGAGAAAAAGGACGGUACCCCAGGAAUAAGUCCCGGCUAACUACGUGCCAGCAGCCGCGGUAAAACGUAGGGGACAAGCGUUAUCCGGAUUCACUGGGCGUAAAGAGCGUUGAGGCGGUUCCGUAAGUUGGGCGUGAAAGCUCCGGGCUUAACUCGGAGAUGUCGUUCAAUACUGCGGGGCUUGAGGACAGCAGAGGAAGGUGGAAUUCCCGGUGUAGUGGUGAAAUGCGUAGAUAUCGGGAGGAACACCCGUGGCGAAGGCGGCCUUCUGGGCUGUUCCUGACGCUGAAGGCGAAAGCUAGGGGAGCGAACGGGAUUAGAUACCCCGGUAGUCCUAGCUGUAAACGAUGGAUGCUGGGUGUGGGGGGUGUAAAUUCCCUCUGUGCCGAAGCAAACGCGUUAAGCAUCCCGCCUGGGGACUACGGCCGCAAGGCUAAAACUCAAACGAAUUGACGGGGGCCCGCACAAGCAGCGGAGCGUGUGGUUUAAUUCGAUGCUACACGAAGAACCUUACAUGGGUUUGACAUGCACGUGGUAGGGAACCGAAGGGGGACCGACACUUCGGGAGCGUGCACAGGUGCUGCAUGGCUGUCGUCAGCUCGUGCCGUGAGGUGUCGGGUUAAGUCCCGUAACGAGCGCAACCANUGCCAUUAGUUACAAGUGUCUAAGGGGACUGCCCGGGACAACUGGGAGGAAGGUGGGGAUGACGUCAAGUCAGCAUGGC
rnacentral:rRNA from 1 species